UGGGGAAUAUUGGACAAUGGGCGAAAGCCUGAUCCAGCCAUGCCGCGUGUGUGAAGAAGGCCCUCGGGUUGUAAAGCACUUUCAGUGGGGAAGAAAGCCUUGGGAUUAAUACUCCCGAGGAAGGACAUCACCCACAGAAGAAGCACCGGCUAACUCCGUGCCAGCAGCCGCGGUAAUACGGAGGGUGCGAGCGUUAAUCGGAAUUACUGGGCGUAAAGCGCGCGUAGGCGGUCUGAUAAGCCGGUUGUGAAAGCCCCGGGCUCAACCUGGAACGGCAUCCGGAACUGUCAGGCUAGAGUGCAGGAGAGGAAGGUAGAAUUCCCGGUGUAGCGGUGAAAUGCGUAGAGAUCGGGAGGAAUACCAGUGGCGAAGGCGGCCUUCUGGACUGACACUGACGCUGAGGUGCGAAAGCGUGGGUAGCAAACA
rnacentral:rRNA from 1 species